rnacentral:rRNA from 1 species
UGAGGAAUAUUGGUCAAUGGACGAGAGUCUGAACCAGCCAAGUAGCGUGCAGGAUGACGGCCCUCCGGGUUGUAAACUGCUUUUAGUUGGGAAUAAAAAGAUGACGUGUCAUCUAUUGUAGGUACCAUAUGAAUAAGGACCGGCUAAUUCCGUGCCAGCAGCCGCGGUAAUACGGAAGGUCCAGGCGUUAUCCGGAUUUAUUGGGUUUAAAGGGAGCAUAGGCCGCCCCUUAAGCGUGUUGUGAAAUGCCGCGGCUCAACCGUGGCACUGCAGCGCGAACUGGGGGGCUUGAGUGCACGCAACGCAGGCGGAAUUCGUGGUGUAGCGGUGAAAUGCUUAGAUAUCACGAAGAACUCCGAUUGCGAAGGCAGCUUGCGGGAGUGCGACUGACGCUGAAGCUCGAAGGUGCGGGUAUCGAACAGGAUUA